UGGCGGACGGGUGAGGUAAUGUCUGGGAAACUGCCUGAUGGAGGGGGAGUAACUACUGGAAACGGUAGCUAAUACCGCAUAACGUCGCAAGACCAAAGAGGGGGACCUUCGGGCCUCUUGCCAUCGGAUGUGCCCAGAUGGGAUUAGCUAGUAGGUGGGGUAACGGCUCACCUAGGUGACGAUCCCUAGCUGGUCUGAGAGGACGACCAGCCACACUGGAACUGAGACACGGUCCAGACUCCUACGGGAGGCAGCAUG
rnacentral:rRNA from 1 species